CCCUUAGAUGUUCUGGGCCGCACGCGUGCUACACUGAUGCAUUCAACGAGUCUAAAACCUGGUCUGAUAGGGCUGGGUAAUCUUUUGAAAGUGCAUCGUGAUUGGGAUAGAUGAUUGCAAUUCUUCAUCUUCAACGAGGAAUGCCUAGUAAACGCAAGUCAUCAGCUUGCAUUGAUUACGUCCCUACCCUUUGUACACGCCGCCCGUCGCUCCUACCGAUUUCGAGUGGUCAGGUGAAUCUUUCGGACUGUGGGCGCCCUUGAGGUGUUCGCGGAAAGUCAGGUAAAUCUUAUCACUUAGAGGAAGUAAAAGUCGUAACA
rnacentral:rRNA from 1 species